rnacentral:ncRNA from 1 species
UGAAGAUCUCCCUACGGGAGCUUCCGUACGACGCGAAGCCGGUGCGAUCCCGGCGCUGUCCCGCAACGGUGAUGCCCUGCCCCCAGGGACGAGCCCGGUCGCCGCCGGACGGUCGAUCGG